rnacentral:piRNA from 1 species
CCUGCCCUGUGGCAGAGCCAAGCCCCUU